rnacentral:rRNA from 1 species
AACGAACGCUGGCGGCAGGCCUAACACAUGCAAGUCGAGCGAGGACUUCGGUUCUAGCGGCGGACGGGUGAGUAACGCGUGGGAAUGUGCCCUUCUCUACGGAAUAGCCCUGGGAAACUGGGAGUAAUACCGUAUACGCCCUUUUGGGGAAAGAUUUAUCGGAGAAGGAUCAACCCGCGUUGGAUUAGGUAGUUGGUGGGGUAAUGGCCUACCAAGCCGACGAUCCAUAGCUGGUUUGAGAGGAUGAUCAGCCACACUGGGACUGAGACACGGCCCAGACUCCUACGGGAGGCAGCAGUGGGGAAUCUUAGACAAUGGGGGCAACCCUGAUCUAGCCAUGCCGCGUGAGUGAUGAAGGCCUUAGGGUUGUAAAGCUCUUUCAGCUGGGAAGAUAAUGACGGUACCAGCAGAAGAAGCCCCGGCUAACUCCGUG